UACGUAGGGGGCUAGCGUUGUCCGGAUUUAUUGGGCGUAAAGAGCGUGUAGGCGGCCAGGUAGGUCUGGUGUGAAAACUCGAGGCUUAACCUCGAGAUGUCAUCGGAAACCAUCUGGCUAGAGUCCGGAAGAGGAGAGUGGAAUUCCUGGUGUAGCGGUGAAAUGCGCAGAUAUCAGGAAGAACACCAAUGGCGAAAGCAGCUCUCUGGGACGGUACUGACGCUGAGGCGCGAAGGCGUGGGGAGCGAACGGG
rnacentral:rRNA from 1 species